UAAGCUGGUUCAUUGCAAUUUGCAAUUGCAAACCACUGGCGCCCACAAUUUGUUUUUCUUUCCAUCAAUCACUCCUCUUUCUUUUUCUUUUAUUUACUUUAGUAGCUGAGGUAUGAGCCCCACAUUUUGUGUUCUAAGAAACCAGGUAGAUUGACCCUAAGCGUUCAGAUCCAGUGUGUUUUAGACCCAUUAUGUUGUAUACACUGAAGGUGUGUUGAUUAGCAAGCUGAUUGUAUUUUGCUUCCAACGAUAGUCUGAAUGUGGUUUUGAAUGGUAACCGAUUUGUUGGUUUUAGAGUUGGAUGUUCCAUCAAUAGUUGAUGUUCUUAAGUAUGGUGAUUGCGAUUUGAUGAAGUUGUUGGUGGUCAAACAACUCCAAAAAUUGUUCGAUUAUGAUGAUGAUCGCAACCCGGAGCAUUGCUAAACGUAACGUCCUUGAUUGCCUGUUGGGCUUGCUAAAGAGUGGAAUAGAGGAGGAGAUGGUCUUCGUGUCUAUAGCAUACAUUACUAUUGGGAGCACGCAGCGGGCAAAGGUAUGUCGUCUGGAUUUAAAACUACAGCUAAAUAUAUUCAGUUCUUGCAUACAUUUGCUACAUGUCUUCUAAGGUGCAAAGUUUACAAAUGUUGGGUGAUCAAAUAGGGAGUUAUUUGAAUUUUAUACCCUUAACCUAUCCGUUACUUUUUGAUUCACACCUAAUCCUUUUUUUAUUUUACAAUUUACUCCUUAAUAGAUUCAUAUAUUUGCAAAAUUGUGAAAGAGUUCAGUUUUCAAGGUGCAAAAUAUGAACUAUUUUUUUGUCAAUUAUAAAAUAAAGGAAGAGAAAGAAAGAAGUUCCCCGAGGAAUGAAAUUGAAAUUUUAACCUUAAACUGCAACUGUGGAUUAAUGCAUUAAAACUAAAAUCACGAAUCCUUGUGGUUGGUGUUGGAAUUUCUGAACUCUGCGAUACCAGUGACAAAGUAAUGGAUCACUUAUUCAAUCAAAUUUUUUUUUAGUCUUUAUAAAACCAAAUUAACCGUGGAAAGAGCUCUAAUUGUUUCCUCUUCGAAUAAUUAGGUCUUUUUAAAAGUGUUCUAGUUGUUAUACCCAAAAGCCGUUUUCAGUAGUAAACAUUUGGUUUGGACUGUUAGUCCCUGUUAGAAAAAUGAAUAUAAGCAGUCAUUUUGUUUACUUAAAGUUUAAAUGUGCUACCCUAAAUUAACACAGGGAGAAAAACUGCUAUUCCUCCCUAAAAGAAAUGAAUUGAUUAGGCGGUAAUUCAAAAAAAAUAAAAGGAUAAGGGUAUGAGUUAAAAGUAGUACAUACAUUAGGGAUGCAAAAAUCAAAGAACUAUCAAUUAGGUGAAUAUGAGAGUGAAAUAGUUGGUCUAGUAGUUAUUAGAAAUGGAAAUAGAAAACGAGUUGUCGAGAUGUGCCCCCCCAAACAAAAAAAAAUCAUUUUUACUUAUGGUGAUCGACUUUUUAGUUGAUGAAACCUUCUCUACAUGUCAAGACUUAAGGGAUUAACCAGUUUAGAUCUCUGACGACAGAAAUGUGAGGACCUAAUGUGGUAUUAGUGAUGUCUUAAGGGAUUAACCUGUUCUUGACAUAUUUUCCAUCUUUAUAUGACACAGAUGGCGUAAAAUGGAAAGGGAUAAUUUUUUGACAAAUUUCUCCAUUAUUGUAUAAUGCCUUCUUAUAAAUGAAAACUAGUCACCUCAUGAUAAGCAUGCUUACUAGCUGCAAGGGUACCAUUGGAAUUUAAAUUUUUUGUUUUGUGCUCUAAGGAUUUGUAUUGUUGCAGCAUUCAUGUGUGUGCUCUGGCUUGAAUGGACGAAAAACUCAAUUUAUUUGCAUUUAAUGCCUUUCGUCUUCCAGCCUUGGGGUCUGUUUUUAUGCUACUUUAUCUUUGUAUUGCUGUAGUUUCUCUUAGUUUUCCUUAGAAGAAUUAUCCCAAAUAGCCGCUCAUCCAACCGCUCAAAUUAAAAAAUAUCGGUGAAGGUAUCCGCUGAGCCCGUUUUGGUAAAUCCCCCUAUGGCACGUACUAGAAUGCCAUAGACAUCAAGGCAUGCUUGCCCUGUACUGUUAUAAUUAGUUAAUCUGCUACUCGCUUUGCUUCAAUUUAUGUGAAAAUUUGAAACGGAAUGGAGUAAGAAAAACAUGAAGAAUGGUAAAACUUGUGGCUCAAAACAUGUCAUUUAUGUGGUUAUCAUAGCUCUAGUGUACAAAGGCAGACUCAGGAUUUGAGGGCAAUGGGGGCACCACUAUCUUUAAUACAGAUAUGUCAGCUAAUAACGAUAAAAUUUGGCGCGCUAACUCCUUGAAAAUUUCAUGAAUAUGAGUCAGAGAUCGAAAGGAUGUACAAAAAUAUAAAAAACUUUGUCAAAUAAGAUCAAGAUUAAAGGUCUAUUAAGCAAUCCAUGCAGAGUCUCAGUCACUGUCGUUGAAUCGAUAGAUGUUUGCUACUUUGCUGAAGUGAUCUUUGGAGUUUUUUAUUACUAUUUUGGAAUUUUUUUUGGUGAAUUACUUAUUUUAUACAUGUCAAGAAAAUGAUAAUGCUUAUAAACUUAGAUACAAGGAUAAAGAAGAUGAUUGGCUUCUUGCCAAUGGAAUAUCUUAUCCCCCCCCCCCUCUAAGUUCUAUAUACUAUUACUAAAUUAUUGUUCAUUAACUUAGAAAAGAUAAAGAAAAACAAAUUCAACACUAAAUACAAGAUACUACAAUAUGUUUUCUAAUAGGUUAUGUGCCCUGUUUUAUUUUGAUGAUCUAACAAACAUAAUAAUAAGAACCAGAUGGGGAACCUGUUACACAUCCUCAGAACAACAAGUCUCAAGUCGGGCACAAGUUCCAACAAUCAGAGUCAAAGAAAUAACAGAGGGAACAGAUGGACAUCAGUUCUCUUGCUGACUAUACCAGUCAACUCCCCAAAGCUAUAAAGUCACUGCAACUGUUCCUCUGCACACACACAACAGUGCAAAUAGUGCAGGAGUCACUUUAUGAGUACCGGAUAAUUGCUUUCAUCAUCCAAGUGACGUCACUUGUAUAUUAUCAACAUGAUGCAAGAGAAAACAAGUCACUUGAACACUUAGAAAAUUAUCAAGCUUCUCUCUUAGUGUGUUCCCAUCUGCAAGUGGCUUCCAGCUUUCAAGAACGAAGAACAACAGAACAAGGACCAGUUUCCAUCACUGCAUUACCAUAUGUCCUUCGUUGUGUUGUACCUUUGUUAGAGCAAUCUACUUGUAAUUCCUACUUAGCUUAGCUAGAAGCAUUGCGUAGGAAAUCUGUUGUAAAACCACAAACCUUAUGUUUGUGUCUUGGCUAGAGUUGGGCGAGUUGUGAGCUUUGUAACAGAGUUAUUACAAACAGGCUUGUAAUAGAGUUAUUACAAGUGAGUGGGGGAUUAAGAGUUUAAUUCCUAGGUUACAAAAGUUUGUAUCUGAAGUUUGCUCAGUAGUGAUGUUGGAAUCCUACAACUGUAUGUCGUGGUUUUUAA